rnacentral:rRNA from 1 species
CAGCCGCCACGGUAAUACGAAGGGGGCUAGCGUUGCUCGGAAUUACUGGGCGUAAAGGGAGCGUAGGCGGACAUUUAAGUCAGGGGUGAAAUCCCGGGGCUCAACCUCGGAAUUGCCUUUGAUACUGGGUGUCUUGAGUAUGAGAGAGGUAUGUGGAACUCCGAGUGUAGAGGUGAAAUUCGUAGAUAUUCGGAAGAACACCAGUGGCGAAGGCGACAUACUGGCUCAUUACUGACGCUGAGGCUCGAAAGCGUGGGGAGCAGACAGGAUUAGAUACCCCAGUAGUCCCUGUCUCUUAUAC